GGACUGUCAGAUUUCUCUGAAGAGGGGAUUUGGAAAGCCAGAUCUGGAACAGGAUGUGAUUUGCUCAUGUUGGACUGCGCAACGCCAGCUGAGGCUACUGGCAAAUUCUGCUCACUGAAAAAAUUAUCUCAUGUAGAUGAGGGUCAGAUGAUUAACUUUGAUGAAUCUUGCCACAGCUGAAAUUACUGCCAGUGCUAGGUAUCAGAAGGAAACAUUGGCAGGGCUGUC
rnacentral:lncRNA from 1 species